UUCUCAGAAACUUGAGUAAUAUCAUCGGUAGAAACACUUGAAUCAGAGGCCGAAGAUUGUAACGAAUGACUUACAUGAGAGAUGAAGGUCUCCAUAGAAUCAAAUUCGGAGAGGAGGAGGUGGUGGAUGAGUUGCAGUGAUGAAGCUUCAUCUCCCAUGAUUGGAGAUGAGCAGUGAGAAAUAGUCUAGGGUUGAAAGUCGAAACAAGUUGAGAAAGAGAGACGAGGGUAAAGAGAAGUGAGUAAGUGGACCUCUGUGCUUCAAACAUGAGGUUGUGGUGUGUAUAUAUACACAUAUAUGGAAAGAGGAGGUUUCGGAUGAGGUUCCUGGUUAGUUCGAAGAAUGUUCUAUAAAGGUAGACGUCAGACAAGUUGGGGCUGGUCCAUGCAUGUGCAUUAUUUGUGGCGGCUGACUUGUGGUUGGAUGGGGUGAGUCAUUUUAAAAUCCAGGCAAUGCCUUGAAUGUUACUCAAGUAGGAUAAGGACACUUUAUUAUUUGGAUUACCACUAUAUAUAUAUAUAUAUAUAUUCUCUCAUGAUUAUAAUUAAUUUACAUCCUAAAAGAAGAUGCUAGAAGUUUAAAGAGGAUAAGAAGAGAAGGGAAAAGAAGAUAAGUCAUAUAAAUGAACCUUUUUUUUUGAGAAAAUGCCCACUGAGGUAUAAGAGAGGAUUCAAUAGAGAGGAGUUAUCAUUCUAUUGAUUGGAAUAAGAUAUUUAUGAAGUUUUAUUUAUUUAUAUAUUUAUAGGUUUUUGUUUUUUCUAAAAUUAAUAGGGAUAACAAUGGAGCAGUUUUGGAUGCGUCACCUCUAUCCUAAUCAUCUGUUUAUUCAAAAUAAUUAUUAUCUUUAUUUCAUUAAAAAUAAAUAAAUGGGGCGGAAUGCAAGUGGAAUGAAUAUGUGCAUUCUCAUACCUAUCCUUUUCCUUUCGUUUAACUUUUUUUUUAAAAAAAAUUAAAUUUCCUUUUAAAAAUAUUAAUUAGAUUAAAAUAAAUAUAUUUUAUAAAUAAUUAAAAUAUUAUAAGUUUUUUAAAAACAUAUACUAUUGAAAAAUAUUUUUAUUAUUAUUAUUAUUAUAUUUUAAAAUAAGAAAAUAAAAACUAAAUUAAAUUAAUUUUAUAUAGAAUUAAGGUAAGACAAAGUGAGAUGAGACAAGAUAAUACCUAAACUUGUUUUGAGUUGAAGAAAUAAAAUAAAAUAAAUAAUAAUAAUUAAAUUCAUCCCUAGUUUAUUUAUUUAAAUUUCAAAUUUAUCUCCUUAGAAACAUAUACUUAAAAAAAAACUAAAUCGGUUGUCAUCCUUGAAAUAUAAUGACUUUAUAAGCCUUGAAACAUUGAUUUCUUAUUGAAGUUGACUGGCCAUUCACAUGGCAAGUGGAGAUAUGGAUUUCUUUUAGGAAGGAGAAGACCACUUGUUUCAAUAAAUUUCCAUUGGGUCAAAGAUCUAAAUGUGUCAACGUACCGGUUUUGUUGACGAGUCCACAUAACAAUUUCAUUUCUAAUAAACGAGUAAGAAAAUAUAUGAAAUUGAACUCAUCACAGACCCAUGUAGGGUUCAUACAGGGUUUCCUGCUGGAGCAAUGUAUUCCUUAAAAAUAUUUUUCAAAAAACUGUAACAUUAAAAUAUUUUAAAAUUUCAAUACUUUUCAAUUUCUAGUAUAAUUUAUAUAAAAAAAAUUAAAAAAAAAAAAAGGAUAAAAGAGGAAUUCAUCUUUUAGUACAAAAAAUAAACUCGUCUGUUAAAAAAACGAAGUUAGUAUAAAAAAUGAAUUCGGGUUUUAAAAAGAUGAGUUUAGUGGAAGAAUAUAAGAAAGGGUGAAAAGUAUCGUAUUUUGUGUAUUUAAUUUUAAAAUAAUUGUAUUUUAAUAAUAUUUUUUUAAAAGAACAUUGUUUUUUUUUUAAAUAUCCGGACAAGACAUCCAUUGGAUUGUAAUUUACUUUGUUUUUGGUUGAAUUUUGUUUUAUGAACUGUUAUGGUGAAUGGGAGGUGGAGUAACCUUUUUCUACCUUUAUUCUAUUUUUGUUUUCAUGAUUUACUAUAAAAUGUCAACAUUGUACAUUUUAAGUUGUGGGAAAGGUCAUAAUUAACCUCUAGGCUAUGUUUGUUACCAUAAAAUUUGAGGAAAAAUAGGAGGGAAAGAAAAUAGAGAGAAAAUGUAAAAGGAAAAAAAAAUGAAGAAAGAUAAAAAGUAGGUUCAAAAUUAAUAAAUUAUUUUUACAUAUUUCUUCAAACUCAUUUCACUUAAUUUCCUCACUUAUAUAAAGGUUAAAUAAUUUUAAAAUGUAUAAAUUUCUAAUUAAUUUAAAUUAUAUUUAAUUUUCUUUUAAAAAAAUUAUAGUAAAAUCAGAUAUGAGAAAAUCAUUUUCCUUUACAUUUUUUUUUCCUUGGUACUUUUUGGGAACCAGACAUAACCCUAAAGUUUUUAAAAAUUUUGCUUUAUUGUUGAGGAUAUCACUCAAUUUUGUUCUCAUUGAUUGAAAAUUCUCCUUAAAUAAGUAUUGAAUCUUUCUUAAAUAUUAAGAUUUCAUUUUAAUACUCUAUAAGAGAUUUCAAAUUAGUAUAAAAUAUUUUUCUUUGUUUUGAGGAUGCUUUGGGAGGUUACCUAUUUUGAAUUUGAUAUGAAUUCACUUACUUUAUUUUACAAAAGUAGUGAUGCCUCUAGAAUAAUUGUUGUUAUGUUAAUUUUGAUAUGUUGGAAAUUUGGACAAAAAAUGGUCUCUACAAAAUGUAUGUUGACUUUAUGUGGUAGUCUUAGUAAUUGGAAGAUAACCUUGCAAUCUAUAGUUGUUUUGUCAAUAAUUGAAGCAAAAUACAUGGGAAUCACAAAAAUUGUGAAAAAAAAAAAAAUUAAGUGUUUGGUUGACGAUUUAGACUUACAAUAGGAGUCAUAGAAUGCUAUUGUAAUGAAACACAUUUAAUUUUGUUUUUAAUCUUGAGUGUUUGAGUCAAGGUCAAGAUUAUUCAAAAGUGUCUCAAAUUCUAAUUUAAGUCAAUUGGAAAGUCAUUGAUAGUUUUUUAAUAAGAUAUAUUAUUGUAAGGGAGUUUCCUAUUAUUGAAAAAGGAAUACUUUACUAUAAAAUCUUCUUUUAGGAAUAGGUAUUCUUUGAUAGUUAUACAAUUAGUUUAUUAUAAAUAACUUCUCUAUGUAAUUAAGAAAAUAUAUAAGAGAUUUUGACAAAAAAAAAAAGUCUUAUUUUGGGUGUAAUCGGGGCUUUGGGAUUUGAGAGUUCCGACCUUAUAAUCCCAUCAACAAUAAUAAAAAUUCUUCUGAGUCAUAAUUCGUAAAUAUAGAAACAAAACUAUGUGAAUCGUUAUGCAUUUGAUGUGUUUUCUGAUUUCGAAUUAUUAUUUUCUUUCUCUCCAUUAUUAUUCUUAACGGUUGCUUUUCACAUGGACUCCUAAACUAAAAACUUCUACUUACGCCUAAUACGCAAGGCCCACUCAACAAGAUGCUUGGACAACACAAAUGUUCUCAGUUAGAGCUCUAGUUAUAUAGUAGACACUAGGAGACAGAACUGGUAGGAAAAAUAUGACUUUUUAUAUGACAAACUCUUGAUAAAUAAUUUUGGAGAAACAACAGUCAAGCAAGAAAACUUAUACAUAAUUAAAAGAAUAAACAAAUUCAAUAACAUUAAUUUAUGAAAUAUAUCAAGUCCAUCAAACUUCAAUUGCCGGUGAGAACUCUCAUUCAACUAUAAGUUGAGAAUACGCUGUCCAAUGAUGGGGUCAUGAUGGCGUUAACGGUGGCAAAUUGAAUACUCCCUUCAUCUCUCUCUCUUCCCACACAGCUCUCCAACUCGACGGCGUUAAUGGACUGAUCCCCAAAACACUUGCUGCCGCCGCUGUGCUGUCAGAUUUCGGAAACUCCACUUCUUCUUGCUUUAAAACCUUUAUCUCCACCUGUUCUCUCACUUCGGUCCCAAAAUCUCUCACCCUUUUACGGCCGGAUGUGGCCGGUGGGUCAGAACCCGACCAAUUCCCUGCUUCAAGGGGGAAAUUGAGAAUGGCUUUGGAACCACGCAUCUUGAAAGCUGCUCGAUCAUAAGCCCUGGCGGCUUCAAUGGCUGUCUCGAAGGUCCCCAGCCAUACCCUCGAUCCUCUCCGAUUUGAGUCCCGAAUCUCCGCCGCGAAUUUCCCCCAUGGCCUUCGCCUGACCCCUCUAUAGUGCCUGAUCUCGCCGGCAACUGGCGCCGAUGAGGGCUGAGAAGUGGGUGGCGGAGGAACUGAGAUGCUGAGUGGGGGUCGCCGUUGACUUAAUGUGGAAGUCUUUUGGGAUUUGGUUUCAAACUGGAAGACCCCAGAUGGAGCAGAGGUAGAGCGGUGGAGGAAAAAAGAAUUAUUUUCAUGUUCAUUGGGUUUCAAGUAAUCAGAGACUUGAACAAUAUGUGAGGCGGAAACGCUUGAUUCAGAAGUUGAAGCUUGCGAUGCUUCACCUACAUCAGAAACGAAGGUUUCCACACAUUCAAAGUCGGAGAGGAGUUGCUGGUGGAUGAGUUGAAAUGAUGAAACUUUAUCUGCCAUGUUGGAGAUAAAUCCCAGUGAGAGAGCUGGAAGUAUUGAAGAGGAGUGAGUGUGGUGGAGUUCUAUAUGCACAAGAGAAUGUUGUGUCGUAGAAAAACAGAUAUGGAAAGACGAGGUUUCGGUCGAGGUUUCUGGGUCAGAGGGGAAGAAUCUUCAAUUCAAUAAUUGUAGAGUCGAGAAACUGGGUGGGGUUUGUCUGUAUGUGCUUUACUUGUGGAGGCUCCAUCAGACAUAGUUGAGUUGUUUCUAGGACAUUUCUUCCUACGUCUACGACAUUCCUCCAAUAGAAAUUAAAUAAAUAAACCAUUUUCUUAUGAACUAUGUCACAUUCACCACUAUUUUAUCACUAAUACUAUUUUAGUAACAUGUUUAUAUGGAAUGUGAGAAUAAAAUAUAAUGAAAAGUUAUUUCUAUUUACUUGUAUAAAUUUUAUUGUUUGCUAAUUAUUAUUUAUUAUCUAUCCAAAGUGAUAAAAAUGAUGGUAAAAAUAAAAAUAUUAUCGGUACUUUUCAAUUCUUAUUAGAGUUUAUUUAGCAUUAAUUAAGAUGGACAAUUUUCUUAUCCAAAUAUGUUUGUGGCACAAUUUGAAAUUUUAUAAUAAGACCUUUUCUUUUUUAAAUAUUACCUAAGUUUAAACAUAUAUAUUACAAUUUUUUUAAUAAAAAAUUAUGUGUAUCAUGAGUUCAUACCUUAUUUAACUAUAUCUUAAGUAAAUAAAAACUUUUAAUUACAUUGUUAGUUUUUCUCAUUCCUUCGAUUUCUUUUUGUAGUUGGGGGGGAAGGAUGUUUAGACAUAAUAUACAAUAUACAUCUUGUAAGUGCUAAAAUCAAUCUAAACAUGCUCAAAAAGCAUAUAUUACUAAUGUAAUCAUGCUCAAAACCUUAAUAAUAUUUAUCAAAUGCAAAAUAAAGGAAGAACCGAAACAUACGUCCAGCCAUUGAUGGUUUGGGAAUCCGAUAAUCAAAUUUGAUAUUUAGAUGGGUUGAGGUGUUCUAAACCCUUAAUCAAUCUUAAAUCAAUAGUGUAUAUAUGUCCGAAUAGAGAUCGGAGGCUUAGGGGCCUAACCAUAAGAGCUAUAUUUAUGACAAUCAAAAAGGAAAACCAGAUCAAUAGAAAUCCAAUAAUAUUAUGAGCCAGAUUUCUGGACCCAUUUAGGAAAGUGUAACAUUAUUCCCAAAAUUGAUGGAAUAUUAUAGGCUAAAUUUCGUUUAGGAAAAUCUAACAUUCUCCCAAUUGGUCCAUAUAUUCCAUCAUUUAUCAUAGUAAGAAACAAAAUACACAAAUCAUGGCGAUACUUCUCUAAAAUGAUGAGGGAUAUUCCUCACACACAUUGUUGAUCACAUACUCAUCCCAUGCAUUUUUUUGACCUCGUACAUGUUCAUUCCAUUACCUACCCCCUUAAUGAUGGAUAAGAACAUAUAUUUGGGUUCGAUUUUGUUUUUAUUCUUUUUCCUGAGCCAUGACAAUGGAAACAUAGUUAACCCACUCAUAUGCAUACAUUGCAUUAAAGGUCUAUGGAAUUUGUGCAAGUGUGCAAGGUAUUUACUCUAAGUGUAUAGGGUAAAUGUACUAACUGUACAAGGAUGUACAAGACUAGCUUCCUUGAAAGAUUUCAAAUGAUUUUGAAAAACUCGUUCUCUCAUUUCCCUUUUCCAAGGAUGGGGGGCAUUCUUCACACUCAUUGCUUGAUCAUGCACUCAUCUCAUGCAUUUUAUUUAUCUCAUACAUGUUCAGUCGAUUACAUACCCUACUAAUGAUGAAUAGGAACUGAAAUUGGGUUCAAUUUUUCCUUUUUUACCUUGAUCCAUGACAAUGGAAACAUGGUUAACCCACUUAUAUGCACACAUUUAGUUUUACCUCUGUUGAAUUUCUACCAUUGUACAAUACAUUUACACUAAGUGUUCAAGGCAAAUGUGUGAACUAUAUAAGGGUGUACAAGGGUACCUGUCUUGAAGGAUUUCAAAGGAUUUUGAAAAAUCACUCUAUCAUUUCCCUUUUCCAAGGAUGGGGCACAUUCCUCACACACAUUGUUUGAUCACAUACUCAUCUCAUAGAUAUAUUUGACCUUGUACAUAUUCAUUCAAUAAACUACCUCACUAAUGAUGAAUAGGAACCUAAAUUGGGUUCAAUUUUUCACCUUUUCUUUGAACCAUGACAAUGGAAACAUGGUUAACUCACCCAUAUGCACAAAUUUCAUUAUACGUCUAUAGAAUUUGUACAAGUGUACAAGGUAUUUACACUAAGUGUACAAGGUAAAUGUCCUAAAUGUACAAGGGUGUAUAAAGGUACCUAUCAUGAAUGAUUUUAAAGGAUUUUGAAAAACUUGCUUGACUUUUAUUUUUAAAUUUCAUCAUCCAAAAUUUGUGACUCCAUGUUUUGUUUUUCAUUGUUUUAGCAAUGUUCUUUGUUUGUACAUUCAAAUAAGUUAUGAAAUGGGAAUAACCAGGGUACCAUUGCAUGGAAGAUACGUAAUAACAACUUCAAGAUGACUAAAUUAGUGCCUAGUCUUGAUGAAAAACAACAACAAAUGCAACGUCUAGCUUAGUCGUACCACGAUUGAGCAUAACUAAAAGAACUUUUGAACAGAAAAUAUGAUUAUGAAUGUUACAACACAUCCUAAUACAAAAAAAGCAAUGAAAUUUGAUUUUCGAUCUUUGAUCUUUUUUAAUACUUGGUCUUCUACUAGUUGCCUAAUAUCUUGAUUAACCUUUUCAGGCGCAGACGAUUCAAUAAGUGUUUCAGGGUUUUUUCCACCGAGGCUCACACAUCACCCAGGCCGAUACAACCUCAUGAUGUGUUUUUUUUUUUUUUUUUUUUUAUGAUUUCUAAACGUUAUCCUUGUAACCAAUAAUUUGAGUUUGGCCUUCAAACCAAGUUGUGUACACACCUCAUCUCCUCCCAACAAAAACAACAUAGAACUUGUCUUUGUUUGCCAUAUAUGGCUCCUCAUAUACACAACUGCAACUAUAUUUGUUAAUACUGAUGCAAACAAAACACCAUAUGUGCAUGAGUCUUUCUUCCAUAUUUGCUUAAAACAUUGAUAGACAAUUUUAAUUUAAAAUAAGAAAUAUAGAAUUGUUGCCUUAAAACAUACCUAACCAAUAUGGUUGAUAUACGUUACAAAUUGAGGUCAUUUACACGGUGCAUAGAUCCAAACAAUAGUGUUUAAAGGUUAUACCAUUUAUAUACUUUGAAGAUUGGUUGGAGAGCCUACUUGUAAUAUUGGUCUGAGGGCCUACUUGCAAUACAAACAAAAAGUACAACAUCUAUAUGAAAUUUUGAAUAAAGAUAUGUGUGGGUAAUAAAACUGUAAUUGUGAAGUCAAUUUUCACAUCAAUAGUGGUGUUCUAGUGAUCCAUCAUUUUUAGUGAAUAGGUAAUUGAAAAAUAUACUUAUUAUUUUUUCUAUAUCAAAGUGUACUUCACCUACAAUAUGUCUUCUUAUUUUGUUGUCAUGCAAGGUGUUUAGAAUGAAUAUAUUUAAUUCAUUAUCACAUGCAAUAUGUGAAUCUUAUUCAAAUUUGCUAUCACAUAUUGACAAGAUAUGACCAGAUGUGAAUCUUAUAACAUAGGGUGGUAAGUUUGCAAUGGGAGGAUAAAAACAAAGUAGAUCAUUAAUUUCCAACCAUUUGCCUAAAUAACUUGGAACAUUUAGCCCAAAACUCAACAAUAUGUAAGUACCUAAAACAACAUCACUGCCACCAUAUACCAUGGGAUGGAAUAAAUGGGAAAUAAACAACAAAUGAAAACAUUAAAAGCACAAAAGAAGGAAUCUCACAACAACUGAUUAUUACAUUUAGAUUGAUUGUGUCGAUGUCAUUGCAUCGAGAGCAAUGAAUAGCUCUCUUAUGGCUCUAUUGUGACUCAAUGCGCCAUUGGUGAGAUCUUUCAAGAAGACGUCUCACUUAUGGGGGUUUGAGAGCAUGGAAUAAGUUCCCUUCUCCAUCUCGCACACUCCCAUCUACACAAACCUUGGGCAAGUUGCUCAUCAGUAAUGGUUGAAACUAACCCGAGUAAAUCAAAUGUUGAGUGGAGACAUGGUAAUAUGAGUCAAUAUACUCAUACACAUACACAUCUUGUCUCAUCAUGCGGAUGAUAGCACAAGCAUGGACGCAUGGCAAUCCGAACAUUAGUCAUGUCAUACAAGUACCCGAAUGUUGCUACAUGUCCACAACCAAAUAAACCUCCCCAAUAAACAUCUUAAAUAUCCCCUACAAAUAUGGCAUGACAACAAUCGGACCAAACCUUAUGAUAUUUGACAUUAGCUUUUCCUCUAUUCACGUUCUUCCACUUUUAUGUUCCACACGUGGUUACAAGCUUAUCCAUGUGCAUCAACAACAAUGUAUAUAUUGUUUGGUAGCACUCCUCUCUUAACCACACAUGAGAGAACUUUGCAAUUUUAGUGGUGAUUUUAUCCUAACAUUUUUUAGGGAACUUUGACAUAUUAAUGUGAUAAAGAACUUUGACAUCAUAGUUUUCUGAGCUAACUGCACCAAGGGCUAGAAAAAAGAUUUCAUCAUCUACAUCAUAUGAAAUGGUAGACAAAAGAACCCCCUUAUAUAGACCGCUAAGGUGGCAAGAAUCAAUAUCCAAUACCGGUCAACACCCCAUGAUGAACACCUGAAUUGAAAAUGCAUGGGCAAUGAUCAAUUACAUAAAGUAACCUUCAUUAGAAGUAUACCCAUUAUUAGUUCUUGGGUUUAUUUCCCUUAGCCUAUGGUAUAACCAAGGCAAAAAUGUGUGAGUCACAUAAAACUUCAUAUAUGUGCUCAUUUGCCUUCUUUUUAAGGUACCAUGCUUGGUUAUGUGUCAGUUCAACUCCAUGAUCAUAGGCGAAAUCCUAGCAUAUUUGGCGAUGAAGAUAAUAUGGAGUUGUUCUAAAGAUAUCUUCAACAACAACAACACCUCUCUUUGAACUAGCCAUCACCUUGGAUGACCAUUCAUCUUGAGUUGUGUGAUUAUGAUUAACUUAAAGUAUAAAUGAACUUGAAAUAUUACAUUCCCCUCUACAACGUGAGCUAUUAUCUUCCAAGGACAACCCUCAACUAAACACUUUAUUAACAUAUGAUUAGGUGAAUUUUUCUUGUACUUGUAUUGAAUCGUCCCACCUAAUGACAUCUAGUUAUUGAUUGCAUUAUGGAAAUCUUCUACAUUUUUAAAUGUGUGUCCCAACCCUAAUAUUGCAUCACGAAACUAAUUUGAUUCCAAUGGAAUGUACUCACUUUUUGCACAUCGUGAUGCAAAACCUCUUGAUAGUAUCUUAACAUCACAUAUUGCGUCACAUGAUGCACCAGAGAAAGGAAAUAUAGGAGGUGGACCUUUGCAUAUUACACAAAUACAUGAAAUUAAACUAAAUCAUGCAUAAUAUUGAUAAUCACAAUAUUUUACUUGGAUAUUCAUGUGAAAGCGCAUUACACAAAAGUUAGUUGUGUAUUUGGUAUAUUUUCUUCAAUGGCUUCUACACAGGGUGACUCCACUAUGUAGACAUUUGCAUAGUCAUCAUUGUGGAAAACCAUAUUAUCCAAGUCAUCAUCAUCUUCUAAAUCUUGGAUGAGUUUGGGGUUAACUUAAGAAUGUAAUGCAUCUUCAUUAGAUCAAGAGAGAUGUUGAAUUUUUCUAAUACUCUCUGAAUGAAUUAUUGAAAUGGAAUUUCUUUAUAUAUGUGAAUACCUUUGCUCUUCUACCCACGUAUUCCCAAAACCCAUCAUUUUUUUAAACAAGUUUACCUCCCACGAAAAUGUAACAAUAUAUUCUAUUUGUAGCAUCCAUCAACCUAUUCAAACAUAAAAUAUCAUUUUCAUAUUGUUGAACAAAUAAUUACGCAUAUAGCCUACUUAACCAUUACAUGCAUUUCCAAACAAGCCCAAUGGUAAAAUCCCAAAUCAACUUUAUGCUCAUUCAUGAAACUAAUAGGAAGCAUUUGGUUCUAUUUGUAUCCUAUACAUGUUAGCAAGAGCUUACAAAAAUAGAAACAUGAAGACCUGGCUAGCAAUGUAUAAUAGAGAGGGAAAUUUUAUAUUUUUUUUCCACACUUUACUCAAAUUGUUAUAUCAUGCAUUACAUAUUGCCAUCCCAACACUGCAAGCACCUAAAACCUCUUUUAACCACCAAGAAACAAACUUAAAGAAAAAUCAACAACAAUAAAACACCACAAAAAACCAUUUAUCAGGCAACACACCUCUCCUAAAAGAAAGUAGAAUUUAUUCAAAUUGAAUGUCAUCCAAAAAAUAUUUUCGUCUCAAAAUAUGUAAUGUUCCCACAUGAGUUAAUACCAAUAGCAUUCUAAACCCAAUACUCAUUAGAACCCAUCAAAUGUUGAAACUCAAGCUUUUAAUAAAAUAUAUAUCAAAAGCCUAUAAAGUUUUGAAACCUAUUAAAGCCCUUUGAAUAUUUCAAGAUUAAGCAUAAACAAGCAAUACCCUUGAGGCUAUAGCUUUAUUACACAAUAAUUGAGGCUUAAGCCUCAUUUUGUUAAGGUUUGUAACCUUAUGGCUAAUUCAUGACACCUCACUUUUAUGAGAAUGCUAGUUUUAUUUUGUAUUGGUUAGUUGGAUUCACAAAGAUGACAUACAUGAAUGUAAUGGGUACAUAUUUAAAAUAAAAAUAAAAAAACAAACAAACAAACCUUGGAUGCAAGGGAAACUAAGACUAGCAUUUGGUAAAAAUAAAAAUAAAUAAAAACUAUAUAUCCUUUAAAACUUGGAUUGACCAUGUCUUUUUCUAUUUCUAAUAUAUACAUUUCUAUCUAUAACUAUUAAAAAAAAAAUUGUUAUUGUUGUUUUAAUCUCCUCUCAACCAUGUUAGUUGGCUAACAUUUGAUGCAUUUUCCUCGCAAUUAGUUAAACUUGAGUUGAGGACUCAAGCUAACCAGAAUGAAGUGAGUAGGAAAGCAUUAAACUUAUUUGAAUAUGAUUAGGUGACUAAUCUUCUUUCCAUGUUAAAGUUUUUAUGCUCAAGCUUUUGCUUGAACGUAUUGUUUCAUAAAUAUUUUGUGAAUAUAAUUACCACAAGUUUUUCCCUAUUUAUUGCUUCAACUAGCCCAUGAUUUCUUAAUACCCAUUAGAAUACCAUUAGAUGUUGUAAAAGUUUGACUUUUUAAAAAACAAUGACAAUGGAGAAUAAAAAAAAAAAUUUGAAAGCAUAUAUUAGGUUUUACUACUUUGUUGUAGGUUUCAAAUCAUUUUUUGUCAUCUAAAUGUAGAAGAAAAAAAAAAAUUCAAGUGUCCUACAAUAUUAUAUUCUAUGAUCAGCAUAGACAAACAAGAACCCUACAGUUUACAAUGUUCAAUGUCCAAAAUCUAGAGACAGAUAAACUACUAUAUGUAUUUGCUCUUAAAAUUGUUUUAAGAGUUAAAAAUUUUAUUAUAUUUUCCUUAAGAUGAGGUAUCAUAUACUUUGUAUUUCUUAAUACCCAAAUUGGUUGCAGAAACUGGAGAGCUUGUAUACAAUGUGAACAAGUACAAUCAGAAAAAACAUUGUGCAUAUCAUCAAAGAAAAUCAAUCCACUGCUCAAAUUAAUGGAAAGGUAGAGACAAAAUACCAUAUUGAUCAACGGAAAUAAGCGUUUUCAUUGGAAUAGUAGAGCAUAGGAAAAGAAAAACUAAAAUCCCUUAACAUUUCAAACAAAUCAUCAACAAUCAAAUAAGAUAAGAGUGAAAAUGAAGAAGUGGGGAUGAUUUCCAGUUCAUAGGAAUACCAAAAUUGAAAAAAAACUAUUUCUAAGAUUUGAAAUACGUACACUUGUGAAGGCACCAACAAGAAGACCAUGAUUGUGGUUGAGAUGAAAACGAUGGCAAGAGGAACCUAAGUAUGGCAACGCCAAUAGGAAUGCGGCUAGAGCAGCAACAAGUGAAGUGUGGUUACAACAAUAGGCCACAACAACGACAAUGACUACGGUCGAGAAAAGGAAGCUAGUCAACAAAGGGAAACUAAGGCUAAAAUAUUUGGGGAUUUUUGGGUUUUCUUUCUUCAAAAACCAAUAUAACAAGGGAGAUAAAUUUAAGGUAGGGAUCUAAUGUGGUGUUCAAAUUCCAAUUUUUUUUUUUUUUGUGUUUUUUUUUCAUAAUAAAAAAAUAGUUCUUUUGAAAAAAUUGAAGAAUGAUAUCCUUCAUCUCAAUUUUCAUACUUCUACUAGGUCUUGGGAUUAAAUGGCCAAGUUAUGAGGACUAAGGGCUAGUUUUUAGGCCCAAUUGGAUCUAAAGCAUAAUUCUUCCUAUCAAAAUUGCCUUUAAAAUUACCUUGGACUAGGUUAAUUGAUUUAAGGGAAAAUUGUGUUUUAGACCCAAUUGGGCCAAAAAAAUAAGCUUUGGUCCAUAUAAGUUCACCAUUUAAACCCAAAACCCAAAGGAAGUGUGAAAAUUGAGAAGAAAGAUAUGAAUUUUUUAUCUUUCUGGAAAUGACCUUUGUUGACUAUGAAAAAAAAUUCAGAAAAAUCCACGUUAGAAUUCCAUUUAUGUUGCCCUAAUUUUACUAUCUUCGAUAUUUCAUUUCAGACAGUGACAUUUUUCUUCUUUCUCGAUUUCCUUCCUCGCUUCCAUUUCAUUUGAGGCCCAAAGAAUGAUCUAAUCUCUGUGGUGAUUUCCUUAUCUCUCGGUUUUGUCUCUCCCGACCAUUUGAUUUUAGGUGUAGAUAGUGGCUUUUUCAUCUCUGUCGAUACAUUGCCCUCGUCAAUUCCUACCGGUGUUGCCCUCUAUGCCAAAGUAGUUGGAUAUUUGAGGUUAGUAGGUUCUCCAAUUUCGUCUCUCCAAACCAUUUAAUUUUAGGUAUAGAUAGUGGCGUUUUUCAUCUUUGUCGAUACAUUGCCCUCAUCGAUUCCCACUAGUGUUGCCCUUUAUGCCGAAGUAGUUGGAUAUUUGAGGUUAGUAGGUUCUCCAAUUUCGUUUUAUGCUUCAUUUCGUCUCUCCCGACUAUUUGAUUUCAACCCAAAUAGAUUGCCUUAAUCUCUCUCUCAAUUUCAAUUCAUCGUUUAUCAUUCCCUCGUCGAUCCCCAUCAACAUUGCCCUCUGUGCUGAUCGUAGUUGGAUAUUUGAGUUUAGUAGGUUCUCCAAUUUCGUUUUAUGCUUCAUUUCGUCUCUCCCAACCAUUUGAUUUCAGCCCAAAUACAUUGCCCUAAUCUCAUUCUCGAUUUCAGUUCGUCGUCUAUUGUUCCCUUGUCAAUCCCUAUUGGUGUUGCCCUCUGUGCCGACCGUAAUUAGAUAUUUGAGGUUAGUAUGUUCUCUAAAUCUCACCCUAGAUCUAUUUAAUCCUACAUUUUGUUUAAUCAUCGUUGGUAUGAGGAGAGAGAUUCUUGUUUUCUGUUAACCUUUAGUUUACGAAGUCAAUUUAGGGUGCUAUUAGUAUUUUUUGCAAACCUAUCUCUAAAUGGAAAUAGUUCUUAUUUAUUGUAGUAUUUUUUAUGUUGAGAUACAUAGGUGACUUAUGAAUUUUAGAUUCUUGGAUUUUUUUUUUACACUAAUGGAUUUUUCUGGAUUGGUGAACCAAAUUCUGGGGAUGGAAAGUUUCAAAAUUAUGCACCAUCCUUAAUUUUUGGAUAGUAGUAUUCAUUUGUACCCUAUUUUAUUGGUGAUACUCUCUAGUCUACCCUGUUUUCUAUUCCAACAUAAUCAGGCUUAGUUGUUAUUUGUCUUUUAUGAGUGGUUAUGAAUCGUUCUCCUUAUGACAUAAAUUGAAACUAUUCAUACGCCUGAAUACAGUGAGUAUCUAAAUGGAAUUCUAUGAUGGCACCAAGAAAUACAAUAUGUCAAUAUUCCUUUUUUUUUUUAAAUGACCAUGUUACCCUUCAACCUUGGGAACUAGGGUCAUGGGAUCAGAUUCAAUCAACAUUAGCUCACACUUACCUGAAUAUGAGCAUAAACUUGUGUCCCAUGUGAAGGAAUAGAUAGCUUAUAUGACUCAUCAACACCAAUUUGUAAAUCCACAGCACACAACAAAUUUAAUUUGCAGAAUUGGCAUUUCUUCAUUAAAAUAAACAGAAUAAUGCAAACCGGAACAAACUUCAAACAAGUUUUAGAGACAAACAUGUGAAUAUGAAAAUAAAUUUCUAAUGAAAAACUAGGCACUGAACUCCGGCAAGUGUUUAUCUAUCAAUUAUAAAUGUUCUACUACACAAAUCUUGUUUAUCCAUCAAACUAGAUUGAGGGUUAUGUCCUCUCUAAAUUUAGGGUCAUAUAGUCUUCUUCCGUCUUGUCUUGAAUAGAUGCCCAUGUCUAGGUUUCAACUAACAUAUUCAUUUUUUAGUCAUUUAUCCAUCUUAACAUCUUCAUUUCAGUAUGCUUAUUUGAUGUGGGCAAGCACCAUUAGUACAAGGCCUUUACUAGCAAAAUUGCCCUUUAAUGUUAACCUAACAACCCCGCAACAACUUUCCUGUUCUAAUCUUGGAGCUAAUAUUCACUUCAUUCUCCAUAUAUCAAUGAUCAGUUCAAAGAGAACCAAAUAUGCACUUGGGCAUCAAUUCUUACAAUUCCUUCACUUCUACUCUUUUCAAUCUUUUUAAAUUCUACUCUAGGCUUUUUUUUUUUUUUUGGAUAGUAAAACAAGAAUAUAUAAAAGAUGCCAAUAAAAGAACACUGCUAGUACACGGGACAAUUCUACUCUAGUUAGUGAAGUUAUAUUUUAUAAAAUUUAAAUUUUGUUUAAUUUUAAAUCCCUAUAUUGCAAGGCUCAUUUUCACAGUUAUAACUUAAAUAAAAUCCAAACGAUUUAAAGACCACAUAGGAAAAAAAAUAAGUAUCUAAUGUGAACCUUAACAUAACCAUGGUUUGGAAUUGAUUUGUUUAUUUCUCUUUCAAUAAUCAUGUUUUUCAAUAUAUUAGUUCUUUAUCACAUUAAUAUAUCUUGUGUCCAUGCUCUCAUUCAAAACUUUAACUUCUUGUCAUUCCAUUCAUCAAAUCAUUUAUGAAUACAAGUAAAUGAAAUUAGGAUGGAUGCAAAGGAUAGAAGCAUUUCAAAUAGAACUCUCACUAACAUAAGAUUCCUUGCUUUUGAUAAAAGUCCCUUCCUCUAAGAGGUUGUCUGUUUCUUAACCUUUUCUAUCACUACGAUCAAUGUAAAGAAGACUAACCAAUUGCUUGUUUUGGAUGUGGAGGAAGGGGGUUUAAAACCUAGCAAAGUUGUUUGGUUGCGGGAAAGGGUCAUUGGAAAUUCUUUGUUUAGAUUCCUUUGAGGUGAAAACAGCAUGGAAUAAGGCACUAAUAGUAUUUUAAGCUAUGGAAUUGGCCCAAAUCAACUUGAUGUGCAUUAUUACCCUAUCAUUACCUAACAUCGAUAAACUUUUGAAUCAACUUUGUAGCUUAACUUUACAUCAAGGGCCAAGUUGUCAGGAAGUCAUAAGUUCAAACCUCACUGUAUUGUUUAUUUCCCCAAUUUAUUGAAGCUAUGUGCAAUUCCAAAAGAAAUAAAGGCAUUCAUUUUUCCUAACUUUCAUAAUUUAUGGUUGAUAUGAAGAAAUGUUGAUUACUUAAGGUUUGUUUGGAUAUAUUUAUUAGCUAUUUUUUUUAUGUUUAACAUCAUAAAUCAGAGCAUAGUAGAAAUUUUUAUAAAAGAAGAAAAACUCUUUAAGAUUGAUAUAUAUAAAUAUUUGUGGGCAAAAUUAAGGUAUCAUAAAACUUUAAAUAGUUUAAAAUUUCUCAUCACUAAAAAAAUGAUUUUUCAAGGCAUAAGCUAAAGUUAAAUUUUUGUAUAUAUAAAUUGUUUUUUUUAAUAUAAAUUUUUUUAAUGUAUUAUUCAUUAAUUUUUAGAAAUAGAGUGACUCUGGUCUUUACACUCUCUACUCUCUCCUUUAUGUAUAAGGUUAUGCUUUGUGGCGAAAGGUGCUAGCAGUCAAGAUUGAAGUUUCUCAUUUCUUUGCAUUUGCACUUGCACCUUACCCACUUUCUUUUUUAGUGCCACUGCUUGCUUCAUUGUCCACCCAAAAAACCCUAUAAACUCAAAUUAAGGAUAGGUGCAUAUGUAAGUGCAGGCAAAUGGCAUCUCCAUUUUAUCAUGACCACCAGCAGUAUCCUCACUUAACUUGCAUUCUUUCUCUUUCUAUCUUCCAUUUCAUGUGCUUCUUCUUAAUUACUUGUUGUUGGCUUCAAGUUAAAGGAAUGAAAAAAUAGGCCUCACACUUUGUUUGAACAAUAGAUCUUGGUGAUAAAAUGUUGGUGGUAGUUAUUCGUAUGGGAACAAUACUUCUUGUGAGAUGAAAAAACUUUUUGGGUGACAUUGAAUAUGCAUAAUUGUGUGUUCAACAAUAUGAAAUUUGUGCUUUGUUUGAAUAGGUUGAUGGAUGCUACAGAUAGGAUAUAUUGUUACAUUUUCAUGGAAGGCAAACUUGCCUAAAAAAAUUAUGGGUAAUGAGAAUACAUGGGUGGAAAAAGCAAAGGUAUUCACACAUAUAAAGGAAUGCCAUUUGAAAAAUUCACUCAAAAAUUCUUAGAGAAAUUUGACAUCUCUCUUGAUGUGAUGAAGAUGCACUACACCCUCAAGUUCAACCUCAGAGCCAUCAAAGAUUUAGAAGAUGAGGAUGACUUGGAUAACGUGGUUUCCCAUAGUGAUGACUUUGUAAAUGUAUACAUAGUAAAGUCACCUCAUGUGGAAGCCAUUGAGACAAAUAUACUGAUUCGUUCCCAAUUGGUGUCUUAGCUGAUUCAUGUCCUCUCAAUGGUCCCUAACAGUGGUACCAUUUGAUUCGUGUCCAGCUAGUGUCCCUUGAUUGUGGUCCUCAGAAGGGAGUAAUCAACAAAAUUUAUAACCUAUUACAUCAUAUAAUAGGAUAGCCUUAGCUAACAUAGCAUAGUGGCUCUAGGGUCGUUCACUGGGAUGGGUUUUCACUCCACAAUUGAUAUUACUUCAAAGAUGAAUUGGUGCUUUUUCAUUUCAAGGUUAGCUUUAAAAGAAAACAUAAUCUUUGGUGGAAAAGGUUGGUUUUAAGCUAACAAAAAAUAAUAACUGAUUUUAAUUACAAAGAAAAGUGUUUCUUGGAGUUUAGAUCACUAGGCUCAGGUUCCUCAUACAAAAAGGAGAGUUCCGAUCACUUGUUUCUUUUCCUCGCAUUAGAGAAUUAACAUAUAGUUAAUUCUCUAACCGGUGUGGUACAGAUGCUUCCCCUUAAUGGGUUCAAACACUAAAUCUCUCUCACCUAGCAUUUACCAUUCAAGGUGAUCUUUAACCUUGGAUUACCCGUCAAAAGCUCGCAAGAGAUAACUAAUGGAUGUCUCCUUGGAGUCCAAAAGCUUACCAAGUAUUGGCUAUUCUAGAAAAUCCUACCUUCAAACCACCUCCCAAAGGCUCGCAAUAGAUAAAUUAGUGUAUCUCAAUGGACGGAGACCACUUGCCUUACCAAGUGUUGGCCCAGGUGAUUUAAAGGCGUUUUAAGUUAACUAAAAACAUAGAAACCAUUAACGGGUCACACUUUCUAUUCAUUAAUAAUUGAAACAAAAAAACUUCAAAUUCUUGCAUUUGGAAACUUACCCGGCUUUCUUCACUCCAAGAGACGAAGAGCCUAGCCUCUCAUCCUCUGAGGAAAAAUCCUCAGAGUUUGAUUGGCUAGAAAGAAAACUAACGAGAAAACAAAAAUAUGAAGGAAAAACAGAGCAAGUGCUCUGUAAAAUAUAUUUCUUCCUUCCACCGAUUACAUGAUUAUAUAUGAUUGAUAUGUUGUGUAAAGGAAAUUACAAACUAUAUAUAAGAGGUUAUUCACAUUUUUUUCUUACUUAAAGACUAAGGAAUCCUAUGAUAGGUGGGUUACCAAGAGAGGUUGGGGAUUUAAAUAUCAAAUAUCUAAAGAAAAAUAUCUCAAAAUGUCGGUCGGGAAGCUUCAGGAGAACACCGCGGCACUGUGCAAAAUGGUUGCGAAAUUUUCGCAGCAAAAGGACAACAUUUUCGUAGCCAAAGGAUGAUUUCGCAGUCGUGCAACAUUCUGCCUUCAACUUGGAGUGAUCUACUUACAAUGGCUGUAACUCCUUCAUUUCAACUCUGAAUCGCAUACCGUUUGAAGCAUUAGAUUUUUGACUUCCUGAGAUUUGAAACGACAUAUAGCAUGCAUAAAUUAGACUUCAGGAAGUCCUCUAAAAGUGGCUAAAAUGACUGUCAUCAAGAAUGCUUCAUGUUAGAUUUCUCUUUGCUUCCCCUCCUUGCAUUCCAGAUUUGCUUAUGGAAAAGGACUUUAAAGCUUCGAUUCUUCAUGUUUCUGAGCUUUCCAUUUGCUUUUCCAUGGAUUCCAAAGAACUCUCCUCAAUCUCGGAUUGCUUUGGUGAUCAAAAAUCUAUCAAAACACCAAAACUUAACACAAUUUGAUUAGAAUUGAUUGUAAGGGUCCUUAAUAUGUUAAUUGGGUUAAAAGGUAAUAACUACUACUCAAAAGUGUUUAAAAGAGUUAAUUAAAAGCUAUCAAAUAGCACUUUUUGAGUAGUAAUCAUAUACCGAAUACACAGUUGGCAUUUGGGUAAUGAACUUUAACAUGAUGUCUAUUUAAAAUAUUGUGAAUAUCAAUUUUACACAUGAUGUAGUCUAAUGUAUGUAAAUGCAGAGGUCCACCUCCCAUGUUUCCUUCCUCUAAUGCAUCAUGCGAUGCAAUUCCUAAUACUAUGAUGCUAUCAAGAGGCUUUGCAUCGCGUUGUGUAGAUAGUGAGUACACCCCUUUAGAAUCAAAUCAGUUUCGUGAAGCAAUAUUAGGGUCGGGACAUACAUUUAAAAAUGUUGAGAAUUUUCAGAAUGCAAUAUACCAUAUGUCAUUAGGUGAGAGGUUUGAAUACAAGUACAAGAAAAACUCACCUAUGCAUAUGUUCAUAAAGUAUUCUGUUGAGGGUUGUCCUUGGAAGAUAACAGCUCACGCUAUAGAGGGGAAUGUAAUCUUGCGAGUUCAUACUUACCAAGCGAAUCAUAAUCAUAUAGCACAAUAUGAGUAUUCAUCUAAGGUAAAGGUUUCUUCAAAGAGAGGUGUUGCUAUUGUUGAAUAUGUGUUUAGAAUCAUUCCAGAAUAUCUUCUCCGUCAAAUUUGCAAGGAUUUUCAAUGUGAUCAUGGAGUUGAAUCGACAUAUAACCAAGCAUGGCACCUUAAAGAAAAGGAAAAAGAGUGCAUAUAUGGAGUUCUAUGUGAGUCCUAAGCAUUUUUGCCUUGGUUAUGCCAUAGCUUAAGAGAAAGAAACUCUAGAACUAUUGCGAAGUGCACUUUCCAUGAAGGUCACUUCAUGCAAUUUUUCAUUGCCCAUGCAUUUUCAAUUCAAGGGUUCAUCAUGGGGUGUCGACCGGUAUUGGCUAUUGAUUCUUGCCACCUUAGCGGUCCAUAUAAAGGAGAUCUUUUGUUCGCCAUUGCAUAUAAUGCAGAUGAUGGAAUGUUUCCUCUAGCCCUUGGUGUGGUCAGUUUAGAAAAUUAUGAGGACUGGUAUUGGUUCUUGGAGAAAUUAAAGGGGGUCCUAGAUGGUAAAGAAGUAGCUAUUAUAUCAAAUAGACAUUAGGGAAUAUUGUGUAGUGUUUCCAAGUUGUUCGGAACAAAAAAUCAUCCAUAUUGUUAUCGACUUGUGAAAGAAAACUUUUCUAGCUUCUUGAAUUGGCAAAACAUUAGAGGAAAGAAAUGGAAAGAAGAUGCUUUGUUGCUUUUGGAUAACAUUGCGUAUGGUAGGUUGGAUAUAGACUACAACGAGACAUUUGAAAAACUUUUGUGCUUCAAUGACAACUUAGAAAAAUGGAUUGCAUAAAACAAUCUCAAGCAUUAGGCUAUAUCAAAGUUCCUUAAAAAUCAUUGGAAUAAAAUGACAACUAAUAUUGCAGAGUCCUUUAAUGUGUGGUUAAGAGAUGAGUGCCACCAAAAAUUUUAUACAUUAUUGUUUGUGCCCAUGGAUAAGCUUGUAGCCAUGUUGGACACCCAUAUGCGUGGUAUAAAAAAGUGGAAGAGUGUGGUUGGACUGAAAACAGAAGAGAAACUAAUGUCAAAUAUCAUGAGGUCUGGUCCAAUUAGUGUGUUGCCUUAUUUGGGGAGGACGUUUAAGGUGUUUACUGGGGAGAUUUAUUUUGUUGUGGAUAUGCAUCAACAUACGUGUACUUGUAUGACAUAGCAAAUGUCUGGAUUGCCAUGUUCACAUGUAUGUGCUGUCAUCCGCACAAUGAGACACAAUGUGUAUGAGUAUAUUGACUCAUAUUUUCAUGUCUCCACUCAACAUUUGAUUUACUCGGUUCAAUUUCAACCAUUACCAAUACACGACAUGCCCAAAGUUUGUGAGAAUGAGAGUUUUCAAGAUGAAGCAGGCAACUUAUUUCCUGUUCUCAAACCCCCACAUGUGAAACGUCAUCCAAGAAGACCCCGACAAAGGCGCAUUGAGUCACAAUUUAGCCAUAAGAGAGCAAUUCAUUGCUCUCAAUGCAAUGGCAUAGGUCACAACCACUCUAAAUGUAAUAAUUUGUUGUCAUGACAUGUCCAUUUUUGUGCUUGUAAGGUUUUCAUAUUUUGUACCAUCCCUCAUUAUUCCAUUAUAUGGUAUAUGGUGGGGGUAGUUGAUUUUGGUACUUAUGUAUUGGCCUCACUAUAGGCACGAUGAACUACUUUUUUAUUUUCACGAUUUAGAGUUGCUUUAAUUAACCAAUUUAAUUGAAAGUGCAAUUUGAACGUGGUCUCUUUUUACUUGUUGCUUAAUUUCAUAAGGGUGUCUACAUUAUGCUAUAUUUUUUGUUUUGAAAGAUCAAAAUAGGUUGAAUAUUAAGAGGGAAUAGGGUUGUUGAGGUUAUUGAUUUCAAUCUUAAUGAAUUAGAAGGUGUAAGUGUCCUCAUAGAUUUCAUCAAUGAAGACCUCUGUUUAUAUUAUACAUUGACUUUUAGUAAAUAAAAUGAAUAGAAUAGCUACACUGUCACAUUUACAUGUACUUGUAUGCAAUCUAGUAUGCCCAUUUUUGGACAUCUUCAAUAGUUAGAUGGACAAAACAUCGUUGUUAGUCCAAAGCCUUUUAGUUGGACAUGAUCUUACAAAUAUUGGGCCAAAAUAAACUACUUACAUCAUCUCUUUCUAGUUAAAUUAACUAUGCUCUAUAUAUACGUACUUUUAUUGCUACUAAACUACAAAAGCAGUUGCAACAAUUGUCUUGCUGUGUGAACCACCACUCAUGUCAGAAAAUAAGUCCACCAUUGUAUAAUAUUAUAGAGUGAACCAUCUAAUUUAUUGCCAUGUCACUAUAUAAUCAAUUUGUUAACAAUGUAUAAACUUGUCUUCAUUUUAAUAUGAUAUUGUUAUGCUCUUUUCAUCCCUAAGGUUCAUUAUAUCGAACUAAUACAUAUUAGACAGUGUCAAAUUUUUAAUAUAAUUUAUUAUUAAGUUUCAACACUCAUCCUAAACAAUUUUUUGUAGUCUGAUUGGUUUUUGAACCAAUUCCUUCCUUCAUGAUGUCAAUUGUUGUGCCCUCUUCAUGUUCAGUAAAUGUAUUUAAGGUUGAGGGUCCACUCUAAUGUAUUGUAAACUUGAGCUAAAUCUAUCCCAAGGAUAAAUGAAUUUUUGAAUUGCUAAUUUGCUUAAAAUGCUAGUAGUUUGAUUGGUUCUUGGUUGAAUUAGUGUGUUGCAAUGUGUUUCAUGAUUGUUAGAGAAUUUUUUGUGUUUCAUCUUUGAGAAGCUAACUAGUAAUUAAAUUUAGACUGUCCUAUGCAAUCUUGUCUCUUCUCCACGUAUCUUUAUGCAUAUGGUUGAGGUGUUCACGUUCUGCUUGUCCUUUAUUAUUUCCACAUUUUGGUCUUCUCUUCUUAUCGCAUCACGUUCUACUUGCACCUAUUCAAAGUUGUCACGAAGUCCUAACAUGUAAUAAAAACUGUCUUUCAAGGUCUCUUCAAUGAGAUAUACUUGUUACGUAGCUUAACCUCAUGGUUAUUCUAUAGUAAUUUAUUCAUUAUGCGAAUUAUGGUAAGUUGGUAGGGGAAUAGUAGUUCAUACAAGUGUUUGUUUCCAAAGUGGAAGUUCUAUCCUAAAUUGCCUUUUUUUUUUUGUUUGAUUCAUUUAUUUUUUCCUUAGAAAUCUCAAUAUGGUGUGCCAUUACCAAAUUUAUCAGACUGAUGAAUGGUACGACUAUUUAAAUGACGAUUCCCUUUAUUAUGAGUUCUUCCAAGUGGGAGAUAACUACUAUAGACCAAAUUUCAAGUAAGCAGUUGUUGCAAAGUUGAAUCUUUCAAGGAUAAUUUCAUUCUUCAAUGGCUUCUACGAAGGUAAUGCUUUCUUUCAUGUUUUUUAUUUUCAUCAAUUUUGUUUGGAAGUUGAGAUUUUAACCUACUUAAGACACUUAAUUGUGUUGACUAUUAAGGAUUGUUUAUUACAUGAGCAUUCACUAAUAAAUUAUUGAUUCACAUGAAUAUGUUUGUUAGUUAUCUCCCUUCCCAUUAGCUUUUGUGGAUGGUGAGAAAAAAAAAAGGGAACACUUGACUUUAUAUAAAAUUGUUCAUGUUUAAUUCAAGUUUGUAGCAUAACUUCAAUUUAUUGGUUACCUCUGCAAGCUAUUUCAAGCAUGUGUAGAGGAAAAAAUAUGUAUUUCCUCAUUAUCAAGACAAACUAUAAGAAGACAACUAUUUUGUUAUUUUUUAAAACAUAUGGUUCAAAUUUUAAUUCCACGUUCAAUGGAAAAAGUCAUACACUCUUGUUUAUUCCGAGUUCUUUGAAGCAAGAUUAAAUAUGAUAACUACACAACACAAUCUUGCAGUUGAAUCACAUGUCUGGUAAAAAAGACUUAAAAAACUUAGUCAAUUUUAUUUGUAAAAUUAAUAUAUAUUCCUAGUAUACAAAGCUCAGUAAAAUGAAACUCUUAUUUAAUUCUAUUGCACUCUUCUUUAAUUAUAUUGUUGGUCCUUUAAGUACUAUUUAUGAUGGUAUCAAUGUUGUUAGUUGUUAUUGAGGAUUUAGCUUCACUGCACUACUGAAGUUUUAGUAGCACCUUAAUUGCUUCUUUCUGCUCUAGUUUCCCAUAGCUGGUAUUGUUUGUUUUUUCAUUCAAUUGUAUUGCUUUCUUAAGCACUGAUACAUAUUCAUAUUCAUGUUUAUACUUUUUUGUUGUUUAGUAAAAUUUAUGUCUAAGCUAUUGGUGUCGCAAUAACACUUUACAAAUAAUAUACUUUAAAAUGAAAAGCUAGUUACAUUACUUCUUACAUGCAAAUCACCAUAGUUUUUUAACCAUUCCAAAUAUAUUAAUACUAGUCCACUAAUUCUUCCACAUUUGAAAGAAAUAAAAAGGGAAUGAAACAAUAUAGUAACACUAAUUCAAUUUUCCUCUUUUUUUUUUUUUUUUUUUUUGUUGCCUCGUUCCAAAAGUCUUGACAAACCAUUAAUGAUUCUUUGUGGUAAAGAUGUAUCCAAUAAUCAGUCCCUAACCCACUUUCAUAUCCCAUCAACACCAUUUUCCUAUCAAACACUCUGGCAGGCUCAGUUCUUGACCCUGUUCAAAAGUUGAUGUUUGUGGUGAUGCUUGUUUAGGAUUUCCACAUUUCCUUAUCAAAGGAUUUCCACACAAUCCUGGGUUUCCCUCAUAGGAACCACUCCAGUAUUGCGCUCAUUAUCAUCACAUAGUGGCUGUAUAUAAGAAGUAGAGUUUGUCACCAUCAGAUUUUAACAUAAGAGUAAAAUCAGCGAGUGCACCAACAUGAAGAGAUACACAAAUGAUACCAUAAUCUCUAAUUUAAUUUAGCACUUUUGGAUACGAAAAAACUUGUAGUUCAAGUCUUAUGGAAGUUUCUGGCUGAUGUUGAGUCUAACUCUCCCUCACAUUUUUUCAAUAAAUAGAAAAAACAAGUUAAAAACCUUAUCUCGUGAAAUUGAAGCUCUAACUCCAAGUUUGACCAACUGCAUCAUGAAAAUAGAUGAAAUCCCAUGGUAGUGGCUAUUAAUUAGAUAAAAAUGCAUAGAUUAUGAAUAGACAAUAGCUUCAAUGCACAACUCUUUUUUGAGCUCUUUUGUCCACUAUAAUUUAGACCUAUACUAUUUCUCCAUAAUACUCAAUUAACAAUUGCAGUUAUGUUAACGGAAGUUGAGACUAAUGAUCUCCAACAAUUUUAAUGCAAACCACCAAAUUGUCGACAUAAUGUUUUUCUUCAAGAUUUCUCAAACUAUGCAACAAGUUACUGGAUGAGAAAUUAGAAGUAGUUCAAGACCUCAAGUUUGAAGGUCUUCUUAACAUAAACUGUAAGGAGAUACACCACAAUAUAUUUCUAUGGUUAAUCUACCAUUUUAACUUUGGAUUCAAACGCCUAGACAUCUCAGCCGACAAAAAAUAUGAUCUUACAACUGCUGAUGUGGGACUUGUCUUUGGCUUUCCAACAAUCGGACAGAUUCUACAAAUUGCAUCAACCCCAUUUGAUCAUUUGUUCGAUACACUCUACACAUGUGAGGAAAGACUCUUCAACUUACCUGUUGGGGAAGAGUUUCGAAGAUGCUUCAUUUACUACGCUUGUACGAUAAUAUUGGCACCCACCUCAAGGAUUGAUGGAUGCCGAAACUUGUGGCAUACCAUCCAUGAAGAUGGUUUCAUAAACGGCGUUAACUAGGACCAAUUUGUUAUUAACUAGCUUGUAAAGGAUAUAAGACAAUAUAAGCAAAGUAACAGUGUUUGGAUACAUCGUUGCACCCUUUUUUCUUAGGUAUUGCACUUUUUUUACAUGCGUUACUUGGUAAAUUUUUAAUUGUUAACAUUAGUAACCCCAAGUAGCGAUUGCACAUAUGUUUAUUUCCAUAAAAUAUAGCUCCAUUAUGUCAUGAAAUUCAAGAUUUCUUCCGUCUAUGUUCCCAUGACAGUGCCCCAACUCUCGGCAUGGCCAGAUGAGUUGAUAAAGUAGCAACUAGCUAUUGAGGUCAAGGAGUUUGGCACUUUUGGACAUGGCAAGGUAGUCAUAUAGUCUAUAUGCAUGUAAAAAUGUAAUUUAAUGACAUGCAAAUUGAACACCUUAAAGGUUUAUGUGUUUUAAACAAGCAUCAUGUUCUCAAUUGUAGGGAUUCGAUGAAUAGUCACCACCACCUACACAUGUGGAGGCCGAGAGUAGGCCCAUAAGUAGUGAUGUACGCAUGAUUUUUUGUUAUUUUAUGAGUUCAAUCUGUCUCAAUGGAAUUAUAAUUGGGUUUACUUGUCAAAAUAUUGUAAAUUAGGGGUUUUAAAGAUUUUUUUUUUUAAAGAGUUUUACACUAAAUAGUCUGGUGGACUUUGGUUGACAUGUGACAGGAAAUUUGGGAGCAGUACCAUAAAGCAGAACAUGCAAUAACGGCAUAUCAGAAGGUCAUACAACAACAACUUGGCGUCAUGCAUGGGUUGAUGCAUAGAUUGGGGGCCCGAAUGAAAAAAAAGUGUACCUUCGAGUGUUGCUAGUCACUCUGGGUAUGCAUCCGAUGCCUUUCCCGUUCCCGAGUAGCAUGCAAACUUUGCCCAAGAUGACAUGGCAUGGCAUGGCAUGACAUAGAAGACGUACCAAACACACCAAUUCAGUAGCCAGCCCCAGAUUUUCAUAUGGAGGUCGGAGGGUCAAAGUCAAAACUUAAUGGUAACAUUCUGGGGGACAUUCAUUACUACAGUAGUUCAUACAAAAUAACAAAUAUUAUAGUGUCCUUCAUUGAACUGAUUAGUUGUUAGUCCAAACCAAUAGAUGAUGAAGUAGUCGUCUAUGACCACUUUCCUUUGCAUUUUGUGAUUCUAGCCCCAUCCGAGAAAGGUGGGAGGCGACGAAGAGUGCGUCGGAUGGCUCCCAAUUUGUUGUCACCAUUCAUAGCGCAACCACAAACCCAACAGUCCGCCAUAAAGAUGGACCUGAAACAAGCAGCUGCAGUUAUAUUUGAUGGGGAUUUGGACCCAAGGUAUGUUGAACCAUAUACUACUCCAAUUUCAAUUAUAUGAACCUGAAAAAAUUUGUAUUACCCUAACAUAUAUGUUUCUAGUGAUAGUGAGGAACUAGUGGCAAUGCAUGACAUGAGUUUAAGCAGAGGCAACCUUGCCUAUUUCGAAUAAGACAACUAGAUUGGGAAUGAUGUUAAUAUCACAGUUUUUCCAUGAUCUUGCAUUAUUUUAAGUUUCAUAUUCAUGUAACAGCUUGUCAUUAGUGAUUGUUAAUCUUACUUACAUAUUAAUCAUUUUUUGUCUUAGGUCAUGGAUGCAUAUUAUAGGAUGCUACAGUUCAAAGAUGUAUCAAAGAUAAAACUGUUUUUUUCGCCAUACAUAGUUGUAAUGAAGAAUUUUUAUGGAGACUGAAUUUCAAUGAUUAGUUGUUAUAACAUGUACAUAAGUUUUGCUAAAUUUGAAAGCUUUAACUGUUUUCAUAUGAUAUAUAGGAAAUGGUCAUGCUCUCCAACGGCAAACAUUUGACGCGAGAAGCAGUAAUAGCCCUUUUUAAGCCACAUUUGUAUCCCCUAGAUGUUUCAUAUCGGAUUGUUAAUGAGGUGAGGUGGAUUGAAUUGUUUUAUGUUUGCAAUAUUGUAAUCUCAUUAACCCAAUAUUUAUUGUAAUUCAUUGGAAGUCAAAUAAUGCAAGUCUAUUUACCGAUUCUUGUAAAGAACCAUUGGACACUAUAUGUAUAUGACCUGUAGAACAAGAGAAUCCAUUUCCUAGAUUCUCGGCCAGGAAGGAAAAUGAGUUGUAUGAGUGGAAUACAAUAGAAUUUGGUAAAGUAGCUUGAAGUUGUGUAUAUUUUGUUGCAUUGUACAUAAUAAGGGGAGUUUGAAUCUGCUUUGUUUGAUUGUUUCAGGCGAAGGUUGUACCAUGGCUUGCUACCUACAAGAAGGAAGUGGUGGAUAUAGACUUUAAGACAUUCAGUUUCAUGAUGCCAGACGCACCAACCCAGCCAAAUGAGUGAGUGUUUAGUAUGUUUAAAUUGAUUGCAACGUAUUUUAAGUAUAUUAUAAUUGUCAUUCCACACAUAAUGAAUAGUUUUUUGUAAUUUUGUGUGUUAGUCAUGACUGCAGAAUAUUUAUUUGAAAUUCAUAGACUUCUAGUCAAUUAGGGGAUUAUCCAAAUCCAUCGAUGUGGUAUGUAGAUACACGAAAGUAUUAUAAUCUCAUUUAUAUAAAAUUAGCAUUACAUGGCCAAAUUAAUUAACAUUUUCUUAUGUCUUUUAAACUUGAAUGAAUGUAGGGCAAAUUGAAGAAGUAUAGACUGAAGAUAAUGGUUAGAUUGUUGUUUUCCACACAAAAUGCACAUCAACAUCAAUUUAUGGCAGAAUGAUGGGGACUGUUGAAUUGGAUGUGACAAGACUAAUUAUUUGAGAUGGUUGUACAUUAUUUGAGAAGAACAAACUGAUGUAAAUGUAUGCAUAUGUUAUUUGGUAGUAUUUGGGCAUAAUACAUAGAUAUAUUAUAAGUUAAGACUUAUUUAAAUUAAAACUAGCCACUUUUUUGGAAGGUUAGGUUAGACUGAUUUUGGAGAUAAUCACAACUGAAAUGAAACUGUAUGAUAGAAGUAUGUCAUAUAUUACUACCUCAGCUAUAGGGACUUGAUUUUUCAGGUAACACAGUGUUACUAAUAAUGUGCAGAUAGGUGUAAAGGUUGAUAGUGUCAUCUAAUAGGCAAGCUAUUGUUCAAAAUUGAAUGUAAUUGUAUGGCAAUUGUAUAGAGACUUUGUUUAUAUAUAUAUAUAUAUAUAUAUAAGUAUAUUGACUGUAAAAUGAAGUAUUGUCAUUUGAAUUAUGUAGGGAAUUUAAUUAACAUUGCUUUUAUAGUUGAUAAGAAGGUAUUAGGUGGUGGGUGUUUAAUUGAAUUAAUUUUCUGCUUAUUUUAAUAUAUUAUGUCUACCAUAUUAGGUACAACAUACUUUAUGCCCAAGUAUUUUGGGUUCAAUAAUAUUUGUGUACUUCUAGUGGGGGUAGCACAUAGGCAUAUGGAUGUACCUUGGGAAUUAAAUAUCUCCAUUAAAUUGAAGUAUUACUUCCAACUAAUAGGUAGAGAAUUGUAAUGAAAACCCAUAAACUCCUUUAAAUGCUUGUUACAUGGCAAAAAUUAGAUUGCUCCAACCCAUCUAUAUUUGCAUAGUAAAGAGCAUGCAAAGGUUCCUUGUAAGUGGGACCAAACCAAGUAAGGAAGUUGUAAAUUGAAGUUUGAAUCAAAGUUGAAAAUGAUACAAAUAGUUUAAGGAAAAAUAAGGUCAGACUUGUGAGUAGGGAUUUAGGAUGUCCAAGCAGACAAGUAGAAUAAAGUGGAUGUAUCUUUACGGGACAUAAUAACAAUAUACCUUAAUAGGUUUAUAAUUAUCUCAAUCAGAACGAUUUGAGAAUAUCUAUAUCUUAUAAUGGAAAAGAGCAUAUGACGUAGAACUGGUUAAAUGAAAGGACGUAAAUAGUAUAAAUCAUAUCUAAUCGAACAUGUAUUCGGGUAUGCGUAAAAUGUUCUCAUACUCACACAUUCACAAAUCCCAACCAUUGUCUUAUGAAAUUGGAUGCAAAUUCGCAAUAAUGACUCAAGAGCUCUUUGACGCAUCAUUCGAUUAUUUUCCAUGUGUAUCUCAACUAAUGCAUCUUCAAAUGCAAACAUUCUUUCACAAUGUAUUUGAACAAGAAUUAACGAGAGAACCCCGACAUGUAGUUGUUGUAAUUCCAUGACUAAAUCAGUUUGUUCCCACACCCUAUAAGCCCACUCUCUACGCAUUAUUCGUAAUUGAUCAUUGAAGCUAAUUAAUGAUAAUUAAUGAUCAACUUUGAUUCCAAACAUCCCAUUAUUAACUUACCACCCCAUGGUAUAACAUUGAAAUUAGCAUCACAUAUUGUUAAUCUUACAAUCAAUUAUAAAUAACACUGACAUAUUGCAUGUCAUGCCGUAUCGAAUAUAUUCAUUCUGAACACAUUGUAGGUGAAGUAAAAUUUGGUUAGAAAAAAUUAAUAAUUAUCUUUUUGAAUUUACCAAUGAUUCACAUUUUGCCACAUUUUAUAAAUAUGUGACAGUGAAAUAAAAUAAUAAUAUUAUGCAUGUCAUAGCUUUGAAUAUAUUCGCUUUGAAGAUCUUUCGGGGCCACUCAAAUAGGACGUUAUGAUGUAGGUGAAGAACACUUUGAUCAUAGGAUAUUAUUAACUUUUACCAAUGACUGAAAGGGGUGUGUCAUGAGAACAAUAUUCAUCUGAAAAUUAACUACAAAAUGACACUUUUAACAGGCAUACGUAUUUAUAUUAAAAAUUUUAAUAUAAGUCUUGUACUUUUGUGUUUAUAUUGCAAAUAAGCUCUCAUGCCAAUAUUACGAGUAGGCCUUCCAACCAAUCUUCAAACUAUAUAAAUGUUAUAACCUCAACUUUAACACCAUUGCCUAGUUCAAAGCACCGUGUAAAGAACCUUGAUUCCAAACGGAUAACAACCAUAUUGUUCAGGUAUGUUUGAAAGCAUAAAUUUAAUAUUUCAUUUCUUCAAUUAAGCAUAUUAUCAAUGUUUUAGGCAAAUAUAAAAGAAAUACUCAUGCAAAGAUUGUUGAUUUGUUUGCAUCAAUAUAAACAACUACAUGGCAAAUGAAGAGAAGUUCUACGUUGUUUUUGUUGGAAGGAGACCGGGUGUAUACACAACUUGGCUUGAAUGCCAAGCUCAAGUAAUUGGUUACAAGGGUAAUGUUUAUAAAUCCUACAAAACUCAUCCUCAGGCUAUAUCAGCAUGGGUGAUGUAUGAGCCUUGAUGGAAAAUACCUAAUGCACCUAUUGAAUCCUCUAUGACUGAAGAGGUUAACCGGGUUAUUGGCCAACUGGUGGAUGACCAAGUAUUAAAGAAGAUUGAAGAAAGAAAACAAAAUUUCCUUACUCCUUUUGUCCUCGGAUAUGUUGUAACAUUCACGAUCAUGUUUGGCAUUCAGAAUUUCUUCUAGGUAUGUUGAAAUGUGGUGCGACUAAGCUACAUGUUGUAAUUGUUUUACAUGUCUUAGAUGCAAUGGUACUCUGGUCUUUCAUUUUGCAAGCUAUUUUAGUUUUAAAACAAUACUAAAAUAGCAUAAAACAAAAUAAGAACUUACAAAUUGUUGAUGAUGAAAUUUAAAGGGGAAAUGACAAAGCGAGUUCUUCAAAAUUCUUUAAAAUCCUUCAAGAUAACUUACCUUGUACAAUUAGCACCCGUACCUUGUACACUUAGUGUAAAUGCCUUGUACACCUGCACAAUUUACAUACAACUAUAAUGCAAUGUGAGCAUAUAGGUGGGUUAACUAUGAUUCAAUUGUCAUGGCUCAGGAAAAGAGGUAAAAAAAUGAAAUCAAACCCAACCAUGUAUCCCUAAUAAUCAUUUAGGAAUACAAGGUGAUGAAAUGAAUAUAUAUGAGGUCAAAUAGAUGGAAGGGCUGCACGUGAUCAACCAAUAUGUGUGAGAAAUGUUUCUCAUCCUCGGAAGAGGAAAAUGAGCAAGUCGGUUCCUCAAAAUCAUUUGAAAAAAUUUGAGAUAGGUACCCUUGUACACCCUCAUAUAGUUAGCAUAUUUGUCUUGUACACUUAGUGUAAAUGCCUUGUACAAUGGCAGAAAUUCCAUACACCUGCAACACAUGAAUCCAUAUGGGUGGGUGAACGAUGUUCCAAUGCCAUAAGUUAACAAAAUAUGAAAAAAUUGAUGCCAAAUUACGUUCCUCUUCAUCAUUACUGUGGUAAGUUAUAUGAUGAACAUGUACGAACUCACAAAAAUGAAUGGGAUGAGUGUGUGAUCAAGUAAUGUAUGUGAAAAAUGUCCCUUAUUGUUGGAAAAUGGAAAUGACCAAGCGACUUCUUCAUAUACCUUGAAAUCCUUGUGGAUAGAUACCUUGUACACCUUGUACAGUUAGCACACGUACCUUGUACACUUAAUGUAAAUGCCUUGUACACUUGCACAUUUACAUACACCUUUAAUGUGAUGUGUGCAUAUGGGUGGUUAACUAUGAUUCCAUUGUCACGCCUUAAGAAAAGAUGUAAAAAAGUUUUAAUCGAACCUAACCAUGUAUCCUUAAUCAUCAUUUAUGAAUACAAGGUGGUGGAAUGAACUUGUAUGAGGCCAAAUAAAUGCAUAAGUUGCACUUGAUCAACCAAUAUGUGUGAUGAAUGUCUCUUAUUCGUGAAAAAUGGAAAUAAGCAAGUCAUUUUCUCAAAAUCAUUUGAAAUCCUUCAAGACAGGCAUCCUUGUACACUCUUGUAUAAUUAGCAUAUUUUCCUUGUACACUUAUUAUAAAUGUCUUGUAUAGUGACAAAAAUUCUACAUAACUAGAACUGAAUGUGUGCAUUUGGGUGAGUUAACGAUGUGCUAAUGUGAUGCCUGAGGGAAAAGAGGGAAAAUUAAACCCAAAUUAGCUUUGUAUUCAUCAUUAGUAUGGUAGGUCAUUCAAUCAACAUGUACAAGGUAAAAAAAAAAAAAAAUUGAAUAGGAUAAGUGCGUGAUCAAGGAAUUUUUGUGAGGAAUGUCCCCCAUCCUUACAAAAGGUAAAUGAGCAAGCCAAUUUUUAAUUAAAAAAUAUUUGAAAUCCUUCAACAUAGGUACCCUUAUACACCCUUGUACACUUACCAUAUUUUCCUUGUACACUUAGUGUAAAUAGCUCGUACAAUGCCAAAAAUUAGACAUAGUGACACUUGAAUGUCUACUCAUAUAUGAGUUAACCAUAUUUACAAUGUUUUGGUUAAUAGAAUGGGGAAAAAUUGAAGUCUAAAUUUGUUCCCCAACUACUAGUCAUCAUAUUAUUCAAAAACAACUACUAGUCCAUGAGUCUUACACAAUAAUCAUAUAAACAUAUCAAUGAAUGAUACACAUGGAAAACCCUUCUACUAACUUCCUACAUGUAAAACAUUUAAUAUUCACAAACAAUUUUCCCUAUUAUUAUUGUCUUACUCAAACAUAAAGGAGUUUCAAUCAUACAAUUAAUGAGGUCCCAAACAUAAAGAAUUUUAACAAAGAUGGAUAUGACAAUUCAUUCCUAAACCUAAUAAAAACACCCUCAAUCCUCCACAAACUUGGGUUCCAAUUCCACAAAUUGUACUAACCCGAAAACCACUUCAACAGGUCGAACAUAUUUUCAUGUUCAAAGGAGGUCAUAGGGCAUAUACCCCACUACCAGUGUUGCAAUGGCUUUAGAUUUUCAAGGAAAUUCUUGUUUUUCAAAUUUGUUUGACUUGAAUGAAUUGUCAAGGCAUUGCAUGAUCUUCACAUAGUCUUCUUCCCCAAACUUCAUCCUCUCUCUCUUUACGCACCAUACUCAAAUCCUCUCUCUGAAUUUAUUAUAUUGGACAAUAGACCCAGGUUAUAGCCACAUACACAUUUUAAAUAUAUCUAACAUGACAACUUUAAUUGACCACAUAUGAAACCCAAAUUUUACAAACAUUUGCUAUGAAAAUUUGAAGGGUAUAUUUGUCUAUUGAUAUUUUAUAUCCUUUCUCUCAAUUAUGCAAUUUAUAUGGACCAAAGGUUAAUUUUUCAUUGGAAAUGAGUGUGCGAGUUCUUCAAAAGAAUUUGAAAUCCUUCAAGAUAGGUAGACUUGCACACCCUUGUACAAUUAGCACAUUUGUCGUGUACACUUAGUGCAAAUGCCUUGUACAAUCGCAGAAUUCCACAUAGGUAUAACUGAACGAGUGCUUAAGAGUGGGUAAACAAUGUUUCCAUUCUCAUGGAUCAGGGAAAAUAAGGAAAAAAGUUGACCCUAAUUUCGAUUCAUAUUCAUGAUUAGUGGAGGAACUAAUAGAAUGAAUGAACAUGGUGGACAUCAAACAAAAUGGAUGCAAUAGGUGUGUGGUCAAGGAAUGUCCCCCAUGAUUGGAAAUAGUAAAUGAGUAAGUUCUUCAAAAUCAUUUCAAAUCCCUUAAAAUAGACACCCUUGUUCAGUCUUGUACAAUUAGUAUAUUUACCUUGUACACUUUGUGUAAAUGCCUUGUACAGUGGCAGAAAAUCGACAUAGCUAUAAAUGAAUGAGUGCAUAUGGGUGGGUUAACGACAUUCCAAUGUCAUGGCUAAGCGAAAAGGGGGAAAAUGAAACCCAAUUUAGGUACCUAUUCAUCAUUACUAUGGUAUCUCAUCCAAUGAAUGUGUACUAAAGGAAAUGAGAAAUGUCUAUGAGGAAUAUCCCCCAUCCUUAGAAAAGGGAAAUGAGCAAGCCAAUUUUUCAAAAUGAUUUGAAAUCCUUCAACAUAAGUACCCUUAUACACCCUUGUACAAUAAGCACAUUUAUCUUGUACACUUACUAUAAAUGCCUUGUAUAAUGGCAAAAAUUUGACAUAGCUACAACUGAAUGAGUGUAUAUGGGUGGGCUAACCAUGUUCCAAUGUGAUGCCUAAGGGAAAAGAGGGAAAUGAAACUCAAUAUAGGUUUCUAUUCAUCAUUAGUACGGGAGGUCAUCCAAUGAACAUGUAUGAAGUAAUAAAAUUGAAUGAGAUGACUGCGUGGUCAAGGAAUGUGUGUGAUGAAUGUCUCUCAUCCUUACAAAAUGGAAAUGAUUUUAAAUGGAUUUGAAAUCCUUUAAAAUAGGUACCUUUGUACACCCUUGUACACUUAGUGUAAAUUUCUUAUACCGAGGAAGAAAUUCCAUACAACUACUAUUGAAUAUCUGCUCAUACAUCAUGUUUGCAAUGUUUUAGUUCAUAAAAUAAGGAAAAACUAAAGUAUUAAUUUCUUCCCCAACUACUAGUCAUCAUAUUAUUAAUUUUCUAUUCAAACAUAAAGGAGUUUCAAUCAUACAAUUAAUGGGGUUGUGCUUUGGAUCAUAGCAAAAAAAAUUUUACAAAUAUGAAUAUCACAAUUCAUCCCUAAACCUAAUAAAAACACACUCAAUCCUCCAUAAACCUAGGUUGGAAUUCUAGAAAAUAUACUUACCCCACAAAAGUACUCCAAAAAGUCAUAUACCCUAUUUAGCAUAUUUUCAUCUUCACAAGAUGUUGCUAGGUCACUGCCAUCAUCAUGGCCACACUUGUAGCCAUUUUAAAUCUUCAUCAGAUUUCUUCAUUUUCUCUGUUUCGUGUGGUAAACCAACUUCACAAUUAUGACAACCAUCUUCUCUACUUUCAAGAUACGUUUGAUCUGAAGGAUAGCUAUUCUAGAGGAAUUUCAUCAUCAUAAAAGAAUCUUCUUUCCCAAGCUCACCGUCUCUCUCCAUCGACCAUACCCAUUUUUCUCUCUAGACGAUUGACCCAGCAAGUAGAUUCUAAAGUUGGAUUUUUAAGACAGAUGACAUGCCAUUUUUCCAUUUCUGAGUUGCUCACAAUCCUCAGUUGUUGAAGAAAUGAAUUGGGAGACAUUGGAGUCAAGGGAGAGAAAGAGGUAGGGAGUGGUGACCGGCCUUUAUUUCAAAUUUUAAAGACUAGUGACACGGCAUUUUUUAUUUAACAAGUAUGAAACUCAUUAAUUUAAAAGCCUCUGAGUUGGAAAUUUGAAGGGUAUAUUGCUUUCUUCAUAUUUUAUAUCCUCCCCAUCAAUUAUACAACUUAUAUGGACCAAAGCUUAAUUUUUGGGCCCAAUUGGAUCCAAAACACAAUUUUUCCUUGAUUUAACAUUAGAGAGUCCUUAGCCUAGUCAAUUGAUUAUAAGCUCUACCUUUGUUUGGUGCAAUCAUAAGUUUUGAAAAAGCUGACAACCAUCUCUGUGUUGAAGCCAACAUAUCAUUCUAAAAGGGUGAUAUGUAAAAGGAUCAAAAUUUUAAAAUGAAUACUAAAAUAAAAUAUAAUAAUUAGUAUCUUUUUAAAAAAUAUAUAUAUAUAUUGAAACCAUAUUUGGAGAAGAUCAUUAUAAUCAAAUAAUCAAAUACUUCUUAAAAAGUAAUAUAUAUAUAUAUAUAUAUAUAUAUAUAUAUAUAUGUAUUAUUAAAAUAUAGUUAGAAAAACAAUACUUGAACAUGUUCCAAACUCAGAACAAAUUUCAAAAGAAAAGUGAAACCAUCAAAAAUGACUUAUUAACAUGGAAACAUAAUCCCAAAAAUACUGGCCAUUACCAUUUAUAAAUGGGGAAAUUUCUAGCUUUGAACAAAAAAAUAGAAAAUAAAAGAUCAAAUGUUACAAACAUUUUCAGGGGUAAUUUAGUAUUUUUAACUAUGAAAUUAUUAUUUUUGUUUAACUAUAUAUUUAAAAAAUAGUUUUAAAAACAGUUUUCAAAAAAUAUUUUAUAGAAAGUAAAAUAUGAAAAAUAGUUUGCUCAUUUUAUUUUCCAUAGGUCUUUAAUUUAAAAUUUUUUUAUUACAAUGUUAAAUUUUUUAGUGAUUUAAUAAUGUUGAUAAUAUUUCUCUUUCCACGAGUAGAAGUGGGUGAAUUAGCUCCUUUAUUUUUUAUUUUUGGAAACUAACAUUUUAAUCUUGUAAAGAAAAGUAAUUAUGUUAACUUAUAGAUGUGAAUAUAUUAAUUUAUAUUGAAAUUAACUUGAAGAAAAAAGAAAAAAAAAUUUAAAAAUUUGGAUAUAAAAAAAUAAUUAGCAAACUCUCACAUUUGAUUUAUGAAAUUAAAAAAAAAUUAUAAUUUCUAUUUAGUUUUAACAAGUAACGAAAAUAUUAAGAUACUGUAAUGGUAUCUAUUGAAGUUCAAAUUUGGAUUGUUGAAAAUAUAUAUAUAAUAAGAUUUAAAUCGUUAAAUGAGGAUACAAACAAAUAGAAUCAAAGUAUAAGGAUACAAAUAAAUUAUAUUAGAAUACAAACAAUAAUAUUUGAAAAUGUUUAUUACAAACAAUUAAAUUACUUGAUCAGUGGUAUUUUUUUCUAUAUCUAAAAGAAAAAAAAAAAAAAAGGUAUUGUGGACCCUAGGUUUUGCACGAUACGUUCUCACUCGAUGACGCAACUUAUUUUUUUUCAUUUGGUAAAAAAUAUUUUUUUUAUUUGAUAAAAAAUAUCAUUUUUAAAAAAGACUUGAAAUCGUCAUUUAUUUUUGCUUUAUUUUUAAAGGGUGACAGUGUAUUUUUGUCACACAUGACAUGCAACUCUGGACACUUAUGGAGGCCAUCUCCCACUCCUCCAAACAAAAACAACAAAAAAACACCAACUCCUCUUAGGUCGAAAGAGGGGUCUACAAGUAUAUUUCUUUAGCCAACAAGUAAAUAUCAUUUUUAGUCGAUCAUGGAUAGAGGCAUCCACGAGAGGCUAAUGUUUGUCCUUGCUCUAUAUCUCCCACGUGGAGCUUAGGGGGAGGGAGGCGACAAGUGUGUGAUGCCCAAGCAAACAUGAUCUCAAUGGCUCGACCUAAUGGUUUGAAGCAUAACUUGCAUUUAAAGAUUCAAUGAUUUAUGAAAUUAUGUAAUUCACACUAAAAAUUAGUUAAAGCAUGGAUUUAAGGUCCUCAACUUUUGCAUAAUUAAUAAUAAGAAUAUAAAAUAUAAAAGAUAAAAAUAUCCUUAAAAAGGAAAUCAUGCUUAUUGCUUAUCAAACAUUAUGAAUAAACGAAUCGAUAAAUUGAAUACUAGGGAAUUAAAGAAUAACCAAAUUAACCAUAACGCUUGACUUUCUUCUAAGGCCCUUCAACUUAUGAGCCGAGAAUAUCCAAUCCAAGGAUGGGGUGAUAACGGGGUUAACGGAGGCAAAUGGAAUGCCCCUUCCAUGUCUCUCUCCUCCCAAACGGUCCUCCAACUUGACGGCGUUAGCGGACUCGCCUCCAAAACAUUAGCCGCCUCCGCCACCACGGGGCUGUCAGAAGCCGGUGGGGCUUCUUCUUGCUUUAAAACCUUGAUCUCCGGUUGUUCCCUCUCUUCACUUUCGCUUUCUCUCUCCCUUUUCCGGAUGGAAGUCGCCGGUGGGUCAGAAUCCGACCAAUUCCCUGCUUCAAGAGGAAAAUUAAGAACAGCUUUGGAGCCACGCAUUUUGAAAGCAGCUCGAUCAUAAGCUCUGGCGGCUUCAAUGGCUGUCUCGAAGGUUCCAAGCCAAACCCUAGAUCCUCUCCGAUUCGGGUCUCGAAUCUCAGCCGCGAAUUUUCCCCAAGGCCGGCGGCGUACUCCUCGAUAGUGCCUUCUCUCGCCGGAAUCUAACGAGGACGAAGUGUGAGAAAUGGGUGGCGGAGGAAGGGAGAUGCUGAGUGGGGGCCGCCGAUGACUCAAUCUGGAAGGUUUUGGGGAUUCGGUUUGAAACUGGAAAACGGCAGAUGGAGAAGAGGUAGAGCAGUCGAAGAGAAAAGCGUUGCUUUCAUCUUCAUGGAGUUUCGGGUACUCGGAAACUUGAAUAAUAUCAUCCGUAGAAACACUUGAAUCAGAGGCCGAAGAUC
rnacentral:lncRNA from 1 species